rnacentral:rRNA from 1 species
GACGAACGCUGGCGGCGUGCUUAACACAUGCAAGUCGAACGGAAAGGCCCGGCGUUUGUGGGGUUCUCGAGUGGCGAACGGGUGAGUGACACGUGAGUAACCUGCCCUUGACUUUGGGAUAACUUCAGGAAACUGGGGCUAAUACCGGAUAGGAGCUCCUGCUGCAUGGUGGGGGAUGGAGAGUUUCGGCUGUGGGGGAUCGACUCGCGGCUUAUCAGCUUGUUUGGGUGGUAGUGGCUUACCAAGGCUUUGACGGGUAGGCGGCCUGAGAGGGUGAACGGCCACAAUGGGCCUGAGGUAGGGCCCAGACGGCAACGGGAGGCAGCAGUGGGGAAUAUUGCACAGCGGGCGGAAGCCUGAUGCAGAAACCCCGCGUGCGGGAUGACGGCCUUCGGGUUGUAAACCGCUUUCGCCUGUGACGAAGCGUGAGUGACGGUAAUGGGUAAAGAAGCACCGGCUAACUACGUG